GAUGAACGCUGACAGAAUGCUUAACACAUGCAAGUCUUUGGCGAAGCUGUGCUUGCACAGCCUAGCCAAGGCGGACGGGUGAGUAACGCGUAAGGAACUUGCCCUGCAGUCAGGGAUAACAGACGGAAACGACUGAUAAGACCUGGUAAAGUCAGGCGGACUCAUGUCCAGCCUGAUGAAAAGAGAUGCUGCAGGAGAGCCUUGCGUCCUAUUAGCUUGUUGGUGGGGUAACGGCCCACCAAGGCGAUGAUAGGUAGCCGGCCUGAGAGGGUGGACGGCCACAAGGGGACUGAGAUACGGACCUUACUCCUACGGGAGGCAGCAGUGGGGAAUAUUGGACAAUGGGGGCAACCCUGAUCCAGCAAUUCUGUGUGCACGAUGAAGGUUUUCGGAUUGUAAAGUGCUUUCAGCAGGGAAGAAAAAAUGACGGUACCUGCAGAAGAAGCGACGGCUAAAUACGUG
rnacentral:rRNA from 1 species